rnacentral:rRNA from 1 species
UGCAGUCGAACGCACUAUUUAUAGUGAGUGGCAAACGGGUGAGUAAUGCAUAGGUAACUUGCCCUUAAGCUUGGGAUAACUUUUCGAAAGGAAAGCUAAUACCGAAUAAUCUUUUGAUGUCAUAAGAUGUCAAAAGCAAAGAUUUAUCGCUUAAGGAUAGGCCUAUGUCUGAUUAGCUUGUUGGUAGGGUAACGGCCUACCAAGGCGACGAUCAGUAGCUGGUCUGAGAGGAUGAUCAGCCACACUGGGACUGAGACACGGCCCAGACUCCUACGGGAGGCAGCAGUGAGGAAUAUUGCGCAAUGGGCGAAAGCCUGACGCAGCGAUGCCGCGUGAAGGAUGAAGUCUUUUGGGAUGUAAACUUCUGUCAAGAGGAACGAUUAUGACGGUACCUCUAAAGGAAGCUCCGGCUAACUACGUGCCAGCAGCCGCGGUAAUACGUAGGGAGCGAGCGUUAUCCGGAUUUAUUGGGCAUAAAGCGCAAGUAGGUGGUUUUUUAAGUCGGGUGUUAAAGCCUACAGCUCAACUGUAGAUCGCGCCCGAAACUGAAAGACUAGAGGUUAGUAGAGGAAAGCGGAACUCACAGUGUAGCGGUGAAAUGCGUAGAUAUUGUGAGGAACACCAGUUGCGAAGGCGGCUUUCUGGACUAAUCCUGACACUGAGGUGCGAAAGCGUGGGGAGCGAACGGGAUUA